rnacentral:tRNA from 1 species
GACCGGCUGGUCUAACGGAAUGACGCUCCACUCUCAAUCGUAAACUUCCGGAGUAGUGUGGGUUCGAAUCCCGCGCUGGUCG